rnacentral:lncRNA from 1 species
AUAAAAGUAUUGGAACUCUACGACGAUAGCUAGCGACUGACCGUUGGACAUGCGACGUACCAUCGGUGUGCACCAUCGUUGCCAAGAAGUAAGCAUCAGCACUGGAACCUUACGAUGGUCCCAAGCGACAUACCAUCAGCUAUGUGACGGACCGUCGACCUUCACCAUCGUACAUGAUGCGGCAAUCUCAAUUUUAAAUUCUGAAACCCUGGGCUCUGAAGACCUAUAAAUACUAAGUGAUAGGGUUUAUUUUGUAUUUUAUCUUAGACAUUAUCUUACACAUUGUCUUAGACUCCAUCUUAGCUUAGUGUUUUUCUUUUUUUCUCACCUAUCUUUGACUUUUCUUGGGAAGCUAGAUUUGAAAUCUACAUUCCAGAUCUAGUUCUCGACCUUUCAUUUUUAUCCUGUUUUCUAGUUCACUGUAACUGAGCAUAUUGUGGGAAGUGAGCAUUAGUUUUUGGUUUCAAUCAUUUUAUUCUUAUUGAAGAUUCAAGAACAUAUUCUUGUAACCGUUGU